UAAUCCUGUUAAGAGUCCCAGCAUCCUGUCGCGAUGGUCUUACGGCACAUUGAAUAGUGUCACCAAAACUGAAAGUGUUUUGAUUGUUGAUGUCAGCGAAAACUGUAUGAUUACCUACCCAGGAUAAAUAAAGAUUGUGUAGAUUUCCUUCAGUAAGCAGGGUAAAGCAAUGAUCAUGCAUUUAUUCAGCAGUAGUCAAAGUAAUGUUCAGAAGCUAUUCAGCAGUAGUUAUGCUAAUGCCAAGCAGUUAUUCAGAAGUAGUCAAUCAUGUGGGGAAUCUUGUGUACUGAAGUUAUUUAGCAGAGGAAAACAAUGGAACAACAAUGGUCAGCUUUCUAGAAAAGGGAUACAAUGUAAAGGUGCUAAAAAAUAAGAGUACCAGUAUUUCUAGAUGAGAACCUGACAACAUAGUACCAUCAUUGUCAUAUCAGACUGUGAAACUUGCAUUACCUUUCAUAAUUACAGACAUGAUCAUCGAGAUGUCAGGUGAAUGAUCCAAUGCAGCUGUUAUAUGGAGUGUAUUGUACCAGUUUGCCCAGAACUUAAGCAGGAGUUUGAUGAGACUCUGUAGGGUCUUUUCUCACAGUUUAUACUCGGUUCCAAAAGUGCACAGUUCUUCUAGUUUAUUUACAGUACCAAAAGUGCAAAGCUCUGCACUUCCUCGGUGCAUGUCAGAACAGAGCUGGAGUCAAAGUAUUCCUUCUGCAAGCGAUAUUGAAAGUGUCCUAUAACUGAACACAAUGAAGAGGAAACAACAGAUUAAAGUCACACACUUGGCACUGCUGAU